GGCAACAGAGAGGAAGCAGCCAUUGUGCUGAUUGACGGCGAGAGGCUGUGGCUGAUACUGUGCCCAUGGUGAUGAAUGACCGACGGUGCAUACCCAGGGGGCGUUGUGCGGCUGCCAACUAAGACACCCCAAUACAAUCAAGGGGAACACUAAGACACUUGUGGCCAGGUGUUGCUUGACUGGCAGGAGCAGACCGUUUAUGAUCGUGUGAAACUAGACGGUGUUCGACAAACAGACGUUUCUGCUGGCUUUCCUGGCAGGUCCAUCGUAGUCUACUUCCACAACACAGCAAACGCAGGCAAAGACUGGCCCGUGGUUCCCUUGGACCACCAAAGAGGACCGACGUCUGGGCUACAAACGCACAUGUCUUCAGCCCCAGAGACGCCACCAACCCUGCUCCCUUCUGGCAACUCCAGAGGCUCUGGGUUCAUCAGUCCCACACAAGGCUAAACUGGAUGACCCAGAGUUGCACUGAAAGACCCCAACCUCCGGCUCGCCAAAGCUUCUUCGGUGCCACUUACAAGACGGGGCAGACAAUGGACUCGAGGCGGUUUCACAGCGGUAUGAAGCCACCAUCGGGAAGGAGCAUGACUGGCAGAAAAUCGUCCGGCCUCAAUCCAAACACAAGCAGCACCUGACGGCAGGCACUCGUCAGUUGUGCUGUAAACCUUAAACUCUCCAUGUUUUUGUGCCGGGGUCAUGCUGAUAUGAAUCAGGAUGAGGGGAAUGGACAUCACUCCCCGAGGACAGAGAGCCAAAGACCAGCUCUGUAGAAGGAUGACUCAGGAAAUCUUCCAGGUUGCAGAGAGGGACACAGCCAGUGGCAAGCAGCACGGCUGAAGCUGUUCUCCAGAAGAUGGGAUGCAGGCAGAGGAGCAAUGAAGAAGAGGGGCAGACUGACCAGGUCCCUGGGGACAGAAAAAGCCAGAGAUCCAAGGGGCAUCAAGUCCAUCAGCCAGUAGGCUCUUGUUCCACCAGCGCUCCCUGAAACUCUGCACACACACAUUGGCCAGACUGUCCCCGUCCUGGUAGUCCUCCCUCAUCUUGUCUGGAAUGAGGUCCUCCGACAGCACCUGGAGAGCAGACAGAGAUUCAGGACUUGAUGUCAUACAAGUUGAUUGUGUGAACAAAGCCAAGUCCUCACCUCGGUGAGCGCCUGCAGGGUAGUUUCUUUGGGACUCAGUCUCUGCAACGCCUCAUCUGUCAUUCGUAGAGUGGUUUCCGUGCGCUGCAACACAAAGGAGGACUGCUGCUGUCGAAGGAUUCUCAACAGGAGUCUAAGGGGACAUUCAGAAAAUAGGAUUCGCAUUUAAAACUCUUCAUACACAUCUGUCAUUUGAGUUAUUCAGAGUUUAUGAAUCAUGUUUUUCUUAUUUAUCCAUUGAAAUUCAAAAGGUUGAGCACCCAUGUUUACACAACAUCUGGUCCCACUUCUCUUUCAACUAGUACAAUAUAUAUAUAUACUGUAAAUUGGCUUUAAAACCUCUGUACCUCGUCCUGAUGAAACAGGUGCACGCUUUCAGCCAGAUUCUGUUGUCAUUGGGCUGUUCCUCCUCACUCCCUCCAUCAUUCUGCUCUUCUGAUGAAUCACACCUCUCUGGGAAACACGACCCUAGAAAAUAGUCAAAUACAUCAGACCGUGAGGACAAAUGAUUGAAUUCUCAUCAAUUCGUUUGCUAUGUGAGUGAGUGUUCAUUCAAGAUAGCCAUAAAAAAAGAAGAAUAAAUUAACAAUUGGCCUGCAUUAUUUACUUUUAAAUUGUAUCCGUGCUAAAAGAAAACAGGAAAUGACCUCCUACCUGUGGUGUUGUCUCCCAGCAGCUGCAGACACGUCUGCCCGAGGCUGUGCCAGUGCCAGGGGUUAAAGGGCAGCAGGCUACACAGUCGCUGCAGCGCCGCCAUCUUUGAUCCCACGGCCCCAAAAUGCUGGUAGAUGCUGACCUUUGGUGAAAGAAGCUCAGUUGAAUAAUAACAUUAACCAUUUACAUGGACUGUCUGUACCAAUUUUUGGGGAUUAAUAAAGUUUUCUAAUCUAAA